UGCACCGGCGACGACUGCAGUAGAGGUGAGUGUGUUUGGUUCAAGUUUGGCUUAGAUUUCGUGCUCAGAUUCUGAUGUGGUUUGAGUUUUGGUUCGGGUUAGGUUUGGGUUCACUUCAGAUUUUGUCGGGUUUUCGGCUCGGUUUCGGGUCUCGGUCAAAGUUGGUCAGCCGCGGUUCGGGUGUGGUUCGACGGGUCAGAUUGAAUUUUCCUUUCAGCUUUAUGACCUCAAGCAGCAAGGUUUCAUAGAGAGGCAAGAGGUGAAAUUUUUUUAGUAGACGAAAACACUGCGUUUUAGCGAUUUUUAUUACAAGAACCUGGAAUUUGGUUAAUGUUUAACAUCUAAAAUACUCUUCUCUGGAAUUUGAUUAGAAAUUUGUUAUGUUUUGA